UGGGGAAUAUUGCACAAUGGGCGCAAGCCUGAUGCAGCCAUGCCGCGUGUAUGAAGAAGGCCUUCGGGUUGUAAAGUACUUUCAGCGAGGAGGAAGGCGGUAAGGUUAAUAACCUUAUCGAUUGACGUUACUCGCAGAAGAAGCACCGGCUAACUCCGUGCCAGCAGCCGCGGUAAUACGGAGGGUGCAAGCGUUAAUCGGAAUUACUGGGCGUAAAGCGCACGCAGGCGGUCAGUCAAGUCGGAUGUGAAAUCCCCGGGCUCAACCUGGGAACUGCAUUCGAAACUGGCAGGCUAGAGUCUUGUAGAGGGGGGUAGAAUUCCAGGUGUAGCGGUGAAAUGCGUAGAGAUCUGGAGGAAUACCGGUGGCGAAGGCGGCCCCCUGGACAAAGACUGACGCUCAGGUGCGAAAGCGUGGGGAGCAAACA
rnacentral:rRNA from 1 species